rnacentral:rRNA from 1 species
CCUACGGGAGGCAGCAGUGAGGAAUAUUGGUCAAUGGUCGGGAGACUGAACCAGCCAAGCCGCGUGAGGGAUGAAGGUACAGCGUAUCGUAAACCUCUUUUGUCAGGGAACAAAGGCGGGGACGUGUCCCCGUAUGAGUGUACCUUACGAACAAGCAUCGGCUAACUCCGUGCCAGCAGCCGCGGUAAUACGGAGGAUGCGGGCGUUAUCCGGAUUUAUUGGGUUUAAAGGGUGCGCAGGCGGUCGUUUAAGUCAGCGGUCAAAGCCCGGGGCUCAACCCCGGCGCGCCGUUGAAACUGGCAGUCUCGAGUGGGAGAGAAGUAGGCGGAAUGCGCGGUGUAGCGGUGAAAUGCAUAGAUAUCGCGCAGAACCCCGAUUGCGAAGGCAGCAUGCCGGCGCAAAACUGACGCUGAGGCACGAAAGCGUGGGUAUCGAACAGGAUUAGAUAGCCUGGUAGUC